AUGUCGACUAGUUGUUCGUGUCAUAAACGAUGUGAGUAACGCAGCUAACGCACUAAGUCGACGCCUGGGGAGUACGGCCGCAAGGUUAAAACUCAAAUGAAUUGACGGGGGCCCGCACAAGCGGUGGAGCAUGUGGUUUAAUUCGAUGCAACGCGAAGAACCUUACCAUCCCUUGACAUCCAGUGAAUUUUCCAGAGAUGGAUUAGUGCCUUCGGGAACACUGAGACAGGUGCUGCAUGGCUGUCGUCAG
rnacentral:rRNA from 1 species